rnacentral:rRNA from 1 species
UACGUAGGGUCCGAGCGUUGUCCGGAAUUACUGGGCGUAAAGGGCUCGUAGGCGGCCAACUAAGUCAGACGUGAAAUCCCUCGGCUUAACCGGGGAACUGCGUCUGAUACUGGAUGGCUUGAGUUUGGGAGAGGGAUGCGGAAUUCCAGGUGUAGCGGUGAAAUGCGUAGAUAUCUGGAGGAAUACCGGUGGCGAAGGCGGCAUCCUGGACCAACACUGACACUGAGGAGCGAAAGCCAGGGGAGCAAACGGGG